rnacentral:tRNA from 2 species
GGGUCUUUAGCUCAGUUGGUUAGAGCCCUCCGCUCAUAACGGAGUGGUCCCGUGUUCGAGUCACGGAGGACCCA